rnacentral:rRNA from 1 species
UACGUAGGGUGCAAGCGUUAAUCGGAAUUACUGGGCGUAAAGCGUGCGCAGGCGGUUUUGUAAGUCUGUCGUGAAAUCCCCGGGCUCAACCUGGGAAUUGCGAUGGAGACUGCAAGGCUAGAAUCUGGCAGAGGGGGGGUAGAAUUCCACGUGUAGCAGUGAAAUGCGUAGAGAUGUGGAGGAACACCGAUGGCGAAGGCAGCCCCCUGGGUCAAGAUUGACGCUCAUGCACGAAAGCGUGGGGAGCGGAACAGG